UGGGGGAUAUUGCACAAUGGGCGCAAGCCUGAUGCAGCCAUGCCGCGUGUAUGAAGAAGGCCUUCGGGUUGUAAAGUACUUUCAGCGGGGAGGAAGGUGUUGUGGUUAAUAACCGCAGCAAUUGACGUUACCCGCAGAAGAAGCACCGGCUAACUCCGUGCCAGCAGCCGCGGUAAUACGGAGGGUGCAAGCGUUAAUCGGAAUUACUGGGCGUAAAGCGCACGCAGGCGGUCUGUCAAGUCGGAUGUGAAAUCCCCGGGCUCAACCUGGGAACUGCAUUCGAAACUGGCAGGCUAGAGUCUUGUAGAGGGGGGUAGAAUUCCAGGUGUAGCGGUGAAAUGCGUAGAGAUCUGGAGGAAUACCGGUGGCGAAGGCGGCCCCCUGGACAAAGACUGACGCUCAGGUGCGAAAGCGUGGGGAGCAAACA
rnacentral:rRNA from 1 species